rnacentral:rRNA from 1 species
ACAACGCUGGCGGCAGGCUACACAUGCAGUCGAACGGAUCCUUCGGGAUUAGUGGCAGACGGGUGAGUAACGCGUGGGAAGCUACCUUGUGGUAGGGAACAACAGUUGGAAACGACUGCUAAUACCCUAUGAGCCCUAUGGGGGAAAGAUUUAUCGCCAUGAGAUGUGCCCGCGUUAGAUUAGCUAGUUGGUAAGGUAAUGGCUUACCAAGGCGACGAUCUAUAGCUGGUCUGAGAGGAUGAUCAGCCACACUGGGACUGAGACACGGCCCAGACUCCUACGGGAGGCAGCAGUGGGGAAUAUUGGACAAUGGGGGCAACCCUGAUCCAGCCAUGCCGCGUGUGUGAUGACGGCCUUAGGGUUGUAAAGCACUUUCAGCAGUGAAGAUAAUGACAUUAACUGCAGAAGAAGCCCCGGCUAACUUCGUGCCAGCAGCCGCGGUAAUACGAAGGGGGCUAGCGUUGUUCGGAAUCACUGGGCGUAAAGCGUACGUAGGCGGACUGAUCAGUCAGGGGUGAAAUCCCGGGGCUCAAACCCCGGAACUGCCUUUGAUACUGUCAGUCUUGAGAUCGAGAGAGGUGAGUGGAACUCCGAGUGUAGAGGUGAAAUUCGUAGAUAUUCCGGAAAGAACCACCAGUGGGCGAAAGGGCGGGCUCAACUGGGCUCGAUACUGAACGCUGAGGUACGAAAAGCGUGGGGAAGCAAACCGGGAUUUAGAUACCCUGGGUUAGUCCACGCCCGUAAACGAUGAAUGCUAAGUUGUCAGGUAGCUGCAAUUGGUGAACGCAGCUAACGCAUUAAGCUUCCGCUUGGGAA